GACAGAGGGUGCAAACGUUGCUCGGAAUCACUGGGCGUAAAGGGCGUGUAGGCGGGAAUGUAAGUCGGGCGUGAAAUCCCUAGGCUCAACCUAGGAACUGCACUCGAAACUGCGUUUCUUGAGUAUCGGAGAGGAAAGCGGAAUACCUGGUGUAGAGGUGAAAUUCGUAGAUAUCAGGAGGAACACCGGUGGCGAAGGCGGUUCUCUGGGCAUGACCUGACGCUGAGGAGCGAAAGUGUGGGGAGCGAACAGG
rnacentral:rRNA from 1 species